CCCGCUGAACUUAAGCAUAUCAAUAAGCGGAGGAAAAGAAACUAACCAGGAUUCCCCUAGUAACGGCGAGUGAAGCGGGAAGAGCUCAAAUUUGUAAUCUGGCGGUCUUCAGGCCGUCCGAGUUGUAGUCUGGAGAAGCGUUUUCCGCGCCGGUGCCGUGUACAAGUCUCUUGGAACAGGGCGUCAAAGAGGGUGAGAAUCCCGUCUUGGACCGGCGGUAGGGCCUAUGUAAAACUCCUUCGACGAGUCGAGUUGUUUGGGAAUGCAGCUCAAAAUGGGUGGUAAAUUUCAUCUAAAGCUAAAUAUUGGCCAGAGACCGAUAGCGCACAAGUAGAGUGAUCGAAAGAUGAAAAGCACUUUGAAAAGAGAGUUAAACAGUAUGUGAAAUUGUUGAAAGGGAAGCGCUUGCAACCAGACUUGAGCGCGGCGGUUCCCCUAGCCUUUUGGCUAGGUUACUCCGCCGUGUCCAGGCCAACAUCGGUUCUGAGGGUCGGUCAAAGGCCUUGGGAAUGUAUCUACCUACGGGUAGACUUAUAGGCCAGGGUGUCAUGCGGCCUCUCGGGACCGAGGAGCGCGCUUCGGCUCGGAUGUUGGCGUAAUGGUUGUCAGCGACCCGUCUUGAAACACGG
rnacentral:rRNA from 1 species